ACGCUCGACACCUACGGGAGCCAGCAGUAGGGAAUCUUCCGCAAUGGACGAAAGUCUGACGGAGCAACGCCGCGUGAACGAUGAAGGUUUUCGGAUCGUAAAGUUCUGUUGUUAGGGAAGAACAAACUUCGUUUGAAUAAGGCGGAGUCAUGACGGUACCUAACGAGAAAGCCACGGCUAACUACGUGCCAACAGCCGCGGUAAUCUGAGCGGGCUGGCAAGGC
rnacentral:rRNA from 1 species